rnacentral:tRNA from 25 species
GCGGACAUGGCUCAGCUGGUAGAGCAUCACCUUGCCAAGGUGAGGGUCGCGGGUUCGAAUCCCGUUGUCCGCUCCA